rnacentral:rRNA from 1 species
UGGGGAAUAUUGUUCAAUGGACGGAAGUCUGAAACAGCAAUGCCGCGUGGAUGAAGAAGGCCUUCGGGUUGUAAAGUCCUUUCGAUGGGGAAGAAGAAGAUGACGGUACCCAGAGAAGAAGCCACGGCUAAUCUCGUGCCAGCAGCCGCGGUAAGACGAGAGUGGCAAGCGUUAUCCGGAAUUACUGGGCGUAAAGAGCGCGUAGGCGGUUUUGAAAGUCAGGGGUGAAAAGUCUGGGCUUAACCGAGGCCUUGCCUUUGAAACUUCAAGACUAGAGUACAGGAUAGGAGGGUAGAACUACCAGUGUAGCGGUGGAAUGCGUAGAUAUUGGUAGGAACGCCGAUGACGAAGGUAACUCUCUGGACUGAUACUGACGCUGAGGUGCGAAAGCUAGGGGAGC